AUACGUAGGGGGCGAGCGUUGUCCGGAAUGAUUGGGCGUAAAGGGCGCGUAGGCGGCGCGGUAAGUCUGGAGUGAAAGUCCUGCUUUCAAGGUGGGAAUUGCUUUGGAUACUGCCGCGCUUGAGUGCAGGAGAGGUUAUCGGAAUUCCCGGUGUAGCGGUGAAAUGCGUAGAGAUCGGGAGGAACACCAGUGGCGAAGGCGGGUAACUGGACUGCAACUGACGCUGAGGCGCGAAAGUGUGGGGAGCAAACAGGAUUAGAUACCCUGGUAGUCCACACUGUAAACGAUGAAUGCUAGGUGUAAGAGGUAUCGACCCCUUUUGUGCCGGAGUCAACACAAUAAGCAUUCCGCCUGGGGAGUACGGCCGCAAGGUUGA
rnacentral:rRNA from 1 species